AUGGAGUUGGGGCUGACCUGGAUUUUACUUCUUGCUCUUUCAAAAGGUGUCCAGUGUGAGGUAAAGCUGGGGGAGUCCGGGGGAGGCUGGAUGCAGCCUGGAAGUUCCCUGAUACUCUCCUGUGCAGCUUCAGGAUUCACUUUUAGUGACUACUGGAUGCAUUGGGUCCGCCAGGCUCCAGGAAGGGGACUGAAAUGGGUUGCUGAAGUUGAAAACAAAGCUAAUAAUUAUGCAACACACUAUGCUGGAUCUGUGAAAGGCAGAUUCACCAUGUCAAGAGAUGAUUCCAAAGGUCAUGUCUAUCUCCAAAUGAACAGCAUAAGAGCAGAAGACACUGGCAUUUAUUACUGUACACAGCUAAGAGGGUUGGGAUCAUUUGAAUACUGGGGAAGAGGU